GGCACGUACUGCGGGAGCCGUGACAGCGUCAUAUGACCGUCCGGCUGAGAGGGCUUCAGAGCCGACCGCUUGACCUGAUCCGGCUAAUACCGGCGUAGGGAAGGAAACCAAUGUCAGA
rnacentral:ncRNA from 2 species